rnacentral:rRNA from 1 species
CCUACGGGUGGCAGCAGUGGGGAAUAUUGGGCAAUGGAGGCAACUCUGACCCAGCAACGCCGCGUGAAUGAUGAAGGUCUUCGGAUUGUAAAGUUCUUUUCUAAGGGAAGAAGAAAGUGACGGUCCCUCAGGACUAAGCCUCGUCUAACUACGUGCCUGCAGCCGCGGUAAUCCGUAGGCGGCAAGCGUUAUCCGGAAUGACUGGGGGUAAAGGGUGCGUAGGUGGUUUGACAAGUUAGUAGCGCAACUCCGGAGCUCAACUUCGGCACUACUACUAACACUGGUGGACUUGAGUGCAGGAGAGGCAAUCGGAAUGCCUAGUGUAGCGGUGGAAUGCGUAGAUAUUAGGAGGAACACCAGUGGCGAAGGCAGAUUGCUAGACUGUAACUGACACUGAGGCACGAAAGCGUGGGGAGCAAACAGGAUUAGAUACCCUUGUAGUC